rnacentral:rRNA from 1 species
CCUACGGGAGGCAGCAGUGAGGAAUAUUGGUCAAUGGGCGCGAGCCUGAACCAGCCAAGUCGCGUGAGGGAUGACGGUCCUACGGAUUGUAAACCUCUUUUGCCGGGGAGCAAGCGUUCGUUCGUGAACGCUCGUCGAGAGUACCCGGAGAAAAAGCAUCGGCUAACUCCGUGCCAGCAGCCGCGGUAAUACGGAGGAUGCGAGCGUUAUCCGGAUUUAUUGGGUUAAAGGGGUGCGUAGGCGGGAUGCCAAGUCAGCGGUAAAAGUGCGGUGCUCAACGCCGUCGAGCCGUUGAAACUGGCGUUCUGGAGUGGGCGAGAAGUAUGCGGAAGGCGUGGUGUAGCGGUGAAAUGCAUAGAUAUCACGCAGAACUCCGAUUGCGAAGGCAGCAUACCGGCGCCAAACUGACGCUGAAGCACGAAAGCGUGGGUAUCGAACAGGAUUAGAUACCCUUGUAGUC